UACGGGGCAGCAGUGGGGAAUAUUGCACAAUGGGCGCAAGCCUGAUGCAGCCAUGCCGCGUGUAUGAAGAAGGCCUUCGGGUUGUAAAGUACUUUCAGUCGUGAGGAAGGUGUUAAGGUUAAUAACCUUAGCAAUUGACGUUAGCGACAGAAGAAGCACCGGCUAACUCCGUGCCAGCAGCCGCGGUAAUACGGAGGGUGCGAGCGUUAAUCGGAAUUACUGGGCGUAAAGGGCACGCAGGCGGUUAAUUAAGUUGGAUGUGAAAUCCCCGGGCUUAACCUGGGAAUGGCAUUCAAGACUGGUUAGCUAGAGUCUUGUAGAGGGGGUAGAAUUCCAUGUGUAGCGGUGAAAUGCGUAGAGAUGUGGAGGAAUACCGGUGGCGAAGGCGGCCCCUGGACAAAGACUGACGCUCAUGUGCGAAAGCGUGGGGAGCAAACAGGGAUUAGAUACC
rnacentral:rRNA from 1 species